GUGAACUGAGGCUGUACAGUAGGCGCUUUGAGUGCACCGAGCUAGCGAUGAGGGAGAUGUUAAUGUGGGUCAUUCUGGGCGCAAUAAGUUACGAAACAUCUGGAAUCUCAGUUCGUGGACAUGAAGGAGAGACAAUCUCCAUCACCUGCAGUCAUUCGUGGGCUGGAAGUAACAGGAAGUACUUCUGCAGGGACCCGUGUUCAGACAGAGUUAAUGACGCUCUCGUGGACUCAGAAAAGAAAUCUAAUGGACGAUAUCAGCUGACGGAUUACGGUACAGGAGUUUUCACUGUGGAAAUCACCGGAAUAACUAAAGAGGAUUCUGGGAAAUACUGGUGUGGAGUGAAAAGAGUUUGGCCUGAUACAUUUAAUGAGGUCUUCCUUACAGUUCUGGAUGCUUUGCAGACCUCCCCCCCACCCACCUCAAGUACUCAGUGCCCAACAUCUGUCCCAGUUACAUCACUGCUGAACAUUUCAACAUCUAACAGCAGCAAUUCUACAGGUGAGUCUGUGUUAUAUAUUUAAUGUAUUAUUUAUUAUAUAUGUAUACAGUAUAAUACAGUAUGAAUGCAUAAGCGAAUGCACUUCAGUUUCAGAUCCCGCAACCACAGAUCAGUCCAACAAUCUGACAACCACAGGUGAGCUAAUUAUUAUAUUAGCUGUUAGCACCAUGUUAGCCAUUUCAACCUGUGAUACGUUUCAUAAUCCACUGGAGCACCAACCCAUUAUCC
rnacentral:lncRNA from 1 species